rnacentral:tRNA from 1 species
GGAUAUAUAGCUCAGUGGUGGAGCGCGUGCUUAGCAUGAGUGAGGUCCUGGGUUCAAACCCCGGUACCUCCA